AAGACUAUACUUUACAGGAUCAUUUCUGUAGUAGCAUAGUUCUUCCUACUUUCCAAUCUUGGAGAGCCUCAACCCACGAUGAUGAGGUUUCACCCUGUCUUCUGAGCGUGAGGCAGGCGAUCUGACCUGAUGAAAGUCAGUCAGACUCGCCAUCGAUGAUCGCAACCCUUUCGGGGGUAGGAAGAGAGGGGUCUCUGAGUGGUC
rnacentral:snoRNA from 1 species